AAAAAAUCACUAAACUAUGAGAAGAUUUCUUUCUCUUUCCCCAACUCCACUUGAUGUCUUAUCUCUUCUGUGAGUCCAAUAGGCAGCAGCAGCAAAAAUAAUUUAAGAAAAGAAAGCCCCUCCCCCCCCAAAAAAUCCCUAAAGAAAUCAGAGGUGGUGGCAGCAUCUGGACAGUGAUCCUAAGGAGACAUACUGGCACAAGUAGGUUGCCUGGCAAUAGCAAAAAUAAUCCCCCCCCC